rnacentral:misc_RNA from 1 species
AUAUAUAUAUAUAUAUUUUUAAAGCGAGGAAAAACUUAUUUUAAUAAUUGUGAAAUAAGCAUUGCAAGCAUGUAAAAUAAAAUGAAUUAAUUUGUGAAAGUGGAUGGACUAUUUCUCUAAAUCCUGGCACUCAUUGACCUAAAAAGAUAAAAAUAAUUAAUCCAGUGUAGAACAUCUCAAUUCAGUAUUGAUUUUACUCUUGUUACUGUUUUAUGCAACCCACCACUUCAAGCAACAAAAAUACACAAUAAUGAGUCAUUAAUUGGUAUCUUCUAUGUUUCAAAAAAAAAAAAAG